rnacentral:rRNA from 1 species
UACGGGGGGGGGCAAGCGUUGUUCGGAAUUACUGGGCGUAAAGGGUUUGUAGGUGGCCCGCUAAGUCACACGUGAAAUCCUGGAGCUCAACUCCAGAACUGCCUUUGAUACUGGGAGUCUUGAGUUCGGGAGAGGUGAGUGGAACUGCGAGUGUAGAGGUGAAAUUCGUAGAUAUUCGCAAGAACACCAGUGGCGAAGGCGGCUCACUGGCCCGAUACUGACGCUGAGGUGCGAAAGCGUGGGGAGCAAACAGG